rnacentral:rRNA from 1 species
GAUGAACGCUGGCGGCGUGCCUAACACAUGCAAGUCGAACGGAGAUUACGGACGGAAGUUUUCGGAUGGAAGACUGUAAUUCUUAGUGGCGGACGGGUGAGUAACGCGUGGGCAACCUGCCCUUUACAGGGGGAUAGCAGCUGGAAACGGCUGGUAAGACCGCAUAAGUCGGCGAGACCGCAUGGUUUUGCCGGGAAAUGAGCAAUCAGGUAUAGGAUGGGCUCGCGUCCGAUCAGCCAGUUGGCGGGGUAGAGGCCUACCAAGGCAACGAUCGGUAGCCGGCCUGAGAGGGGGACCGGCCACAGUGGGACUGAGAUACGGCCCAGACUCAUACGGGAGGCAGCAGUGGGGAAGAGUGCACAAGGGGCGGAAGCCUGAUGCAGCAACGCCGCGUGCGGGAGGACGGCCUUCGGGUUGUAAACCGCUUCCGCCUGUGACGAAGCGUGAGUGACGGUAAUGGGUAAAGAAGCACCGGCUAACUACGUG